rnacentral:lncRNA from 1 species
UGCAAUUUUAAGAGCAACUCUUUGAGACAUGGACUAGAAGGGACCAAAGAAGAAGCAAAGAGAAGUGCCUGUGGGGGUUCAGAUGUCCCAAUAAGCUCAGUGAGACAUCCCAAUGGAUAGGUCAAGAAUGCAGCAGAGAGCACCUGGGGCUUGAGAUUCACAUUCUGAAGUCAUCUAAGUACAGACAGCACUGAAAGAGCUAGGACUGGAAAGAUCACCUCGUCAUCUCAUAAGGACACCCGAGCAGCCUUAUGGAGAGGUCCACAAGGCGAGCAGCUGAGGCCUCCUGCCCACAGCCAUGCGAGCACUCAUCUGGAAAACAGACCCUCUGGCCAGUCAAGCCUUCCAAUGACUGCAGCCUUGGCCAACAACUCAACUGUAACCUGGUUUCUAUCUUUUCUGGGUUUACCAUAUGUAUUAGCCUGCUGGGGCUGCCAUCAUCAAGUACCACAGAUGAAGUGUCUUCAACGACAGAAAUUCUUUUGCUCACAAUUCUGGAGGCUGGAAGUUUGAGAUCAAGGCAAGACUGCUUUCCUCUGAGGCCUCUCCUCGGCUUAUAUGUGGCGUUUUCUCCUCGUGUCUACACAUGGUCUUGGAUUCCAGGAUUUCCUCUGAGGUUGGGUGGGUGUUCGUGUCCUGAUCCCCUCUUUUUAGAGGACACCAGUCAUGCUCGGCUAGGGCCAUCUUAAUUUUAACUUAAUUACCUCUGAAAAGACCCUGUCUCCAAAUGCAGUCACAUUGGAGGGAUUAGGACUUCAACAGAGUCAUUCCUUUGAGGCAGGGGGAACAAUUCAGCCCCAAACACCUUAGGAUGCCUAUAUUGCCUCUACUGUCCCCAGAGGAGCUGGUGUCCUGGAACUUGUCACCAGGAGCACAAGUUCCUCAGAGAUACUUCCCUGUAUCACUGGGUCAGUGAAAAAUGGUGGUAUAUUGUGGUUAAGGGCCAGCCUCAUUUUCUGGUGCCCAAGGGCUUCUUUUGUUGGCAGGAGCUGGCUCUGCCUAUGUGCACAGUAGGCUGAAUGAGGAGAAUCCCCAUCCUUAGAAGUCCUCCAUCAGUGAUUGAUGGGAGUAUAGACACCCCAGGCUUCCUUGCCUCUGGGGUAUAACUCUGAGGCUCAUGUCCUCUUGUCUUCUCAAACUCCCCAGAAUUAAAUCACAUUGGAAACUUAUUUAUAUAACAUGUCUUUCCCUUCUCCAGCCUCCUUCUCAGCUUCCCUACUAGAAUUUUCUGGGGCCACCUCCCAAGUAAACCACACACACUUGAACUCGGGUCUCAGAGUUUGCUUCUGAGAGAAAGUAAACUUAGAGAAGAAGGAGCUGGGAGGAUGGAGCAUCAGGAAUUACUCAUUUAUUCCACAUGCAUCCCUUGAUGGUACUGGGCAAGAGUCGAUCUAUGAAGUUCCUGUUGUGGUUCAGUGAUAACGAGCCCCCCUAGUAUCCUUGAAGAUGUGGGUUCAAUCCCUGGCCUCCCUUAGUGGGUUAAGGAUCUGGCAUUGCCAUGAGCUGUGGUGUAGGUCACAGAUGCAGCUCGGAUCCUGCAUGGCUGUGGCUGUGGUGUAGACCGGCAGCUGCGGCUCCUAUUCAACCCCUAGCCUGGAAACUUCCACAUACCACAGGCUUGGCCCUAAAAAGCCAACAACAACAACCAAAAAAAAAAAGAGAGAGAGAGAGAGAGAGAGAGAGAGAGAGAGAGAACCUAACAGGCUCACUGGUGAUAACGUGUGAGAAGGCACUUUGUAAAAAUGUCACCUUUUAGGUAUUCAAUUUUUUUUUUGAGAAACAAAUGUGAAAUAUUCGAAUGUCAUCAUUCUUAGUGCAAAAGACCAAAUCCAAUGAAGUUCUUGAGGAAUCACCUAUUUUCUUCAAGUUUUUCCAUCCCAUUGUCAGUCAAAUUGACAUAAUACCUAUUUCUUAGGAUUGAUGAGACAAUUGAGUGCAAUCACAGUGAAAAAAUAUUGACACAUAGCAGGAUGUCAACAAAAUUUGUUGAAUGCCAAUGUGAUAUAUAAGGACAGGACAAUAUCCUUAUUCUCAUUUUAAGGUUUAUAUAUCCUUGGUUUAUAUAUAUAAACUACAUAUAAGACUUUGAUACCUUCUAUGCCAAUUAAACUAAUUACUGAAAUAAGAUGGCUUAAAAACAUGCACAACUAUUCACAAUAGCCAAAACGUGGAAACAACCUAGAUGUCCAUUGACAGAUGAAUGGAUUAAGAAAAUGUAAUAUAUACACAACGGAAUACUACUCAGCCAUAAAAAAGAACAAAAUAAUGCCAUUUGCAGCAACAUGGAUGGAACUACAGACUCUCAUACUAAGUGAAGCAAAUCAGAAAGAGAAAGACAAAUACCAUAUGAUAUCACUUACAUCUGCAAUCUAAUAGACGGCACAAAUGAGCCUUUCCACAGAAAAGAAACUCAUGGACUUGGAAAACAAACUUGUGAUUGCCAAGGGGGAGGGAGGGAGAGGGAGUGGGAUGGACUGGAAAUCUGGGGUUAAUAGAUGCAAACUAUUGCCUUUGGAAUGGAUAAGCAAUGAUAUCCUGCUGUAUAGCACUGGGAACUCUAUCUAGUCACUUAUGAUGGAGCAUGAUGGAGGAUAAUGUGAGAAAAAGAAUGUAUAUAUGUAUGUGUGACUAGGUCACUUUGUUGUACAGUAGAAAAUUGACAGAACACCAUAAACCAACUAUAAUGGAAAAAAUAAAAAUCAUUAAAAAAAAAA